rnacentral:lncRNA from 1 species
CUCGAUAAGUUUAGUAGCCAUCUGCCCCAUCUGAUCAGUCAAACUCUGAAAGGAAGCUCUGGUCUCCUACUGAAACUCCAUGUUCACUUGCUGGAACUGAAUGUUCAGAAUAGUCAUCUGCUCCAAUAACUCCUUCAAUGUAGGCUCAGAAGUAGUGGGAGGAUGAGGAGUUGCUUGUGUAGGCUCAUGAAACUACAACUGUUGUGGUUCCUGGACAGAGGGAGGCAUACAAGCAUUCUGGAAUGGUGGUUCUUGAUAUUGAUGCUGUGAAGGGCGGAAUCUUUCCAAAAACAGUUGCUUAAGAUCUUCCCAAUUGGUGAUGGAUCCACAAGGAAGACAAAACCGCCAAUACCUUGCCGCUCCAGCUAACGAGUAUUCAAAUGCCCUUAAGAACAUGUCCUCAUCCGAGACAUCUGGAGGUUUCAUCGAAGAGCAUAUGGUGUAGAACUCCUCCAAAUGUCUAUA